GCACUCACUUUGGCAGCACAUAUACUGAAAUUGGAAUGCUACAGAGAUUAGCAUGGCCCUUGCGCAAGGAUGACAUGCAAAUUUGUGAAGCAUUCCAUAUUUUU